UAGCGGGGGCACACGGGAGGUGUGAUGGGUGCACUGCUGGCUGCUCCUCUGGCAUGACUGCGCUGCCCCGCCCCAGCAAGGUGUGGAGAUGCCUUCAAAGAUUUUGCCGAGGGGCUCCGGCUCCUCGAGCGUAA
rnacentral:SRP_RNA from 14 species